rnacentral:rRNA from 1 species
GAUGAACGCUGGCGGCGUGCCUAAUACAUGCAAGUCGAGCGAACGGACGAGAAGCUUGCUUCCCUGAUGUUAGCGGCGGACGGGUGAGUAACACGUGGAUAACCUACCUAUAAGACUGGGAUAACUUCGGGAAACCGGAUCUACUGCCGGAUAAUAUUUUGAACCGCAUGGUUCAAAAGUUAAAGACGGUCUUUCUGUCACUUAUAGAUGGCUCCGCCCUGCAUUAGCUAGUUGGUAAGGUAACGGCUUACCAAGGCAACGAUGCAUAGCCGACCUGAGAGGGUGAUCGACCACACUGGAACGGAGACGCGGUCCAGACUCCGACGGGAGGCAGCAGUAGGGAAUCUUCCGCAAUGGGCGAAAGCCUGACGGAGCAACGCCGCGUGAGUGAUGAAGAUCUUCGGAUCGUAAAACACUGUUAUUAGGGAAGAACAUAUGUGUAAGUAACUGUGCACAUCUUGAAGGUACCGAAUCAGAAAGCCACGGCUAACUACGU